UUUGUGUUUUAGUUCACGUCCCUCUGUGUUCACUGGUUGGCUCUCUCGUCUUUCUCAAAGCUGUUCCAAAUGCCCCUGAUUAAUCUCACCUGGAGGGAACUAAUAUCAUUCAGCACCCUUGUGUUGGUAUAAACUCUGUUUUAUUUGCUGAUUCUUCCAUUAUCAUUUUCUGUCUUCCUCAUGCUCUUUCUGUGAGUUUGUUUUCAUCCAGCUUUCUAUGUUAAUUCAGAACUAUUGACUUCAGAUUGAUCCAACAGAGCAUGACACAAGCUGAAAUAAAUCAACUUAUACCCACGUCAGACUGUAGGGAGGUAUCUAGACGCGUCCUGGACCUAGUAACCAGAAGAGUGAGCCAUCAGCGGGGGCCGGUGGCUAACGCGGAGGAGCGCGGCUGGCCUUCACUGAGUCAAAGCCAGGGGGGAAUUAUCAGCCGGAUCGCAGCAGAGCACACACGUCUGACUGAGGCGGCCCUGUAAGCCCGCGAAUCAACCUUUGUGGAUCCACUGGAAAAGGCUUUCAUCCUCUCUCGCACCCUGCGAUGCAUCAGGAGGAUCCAGGCGUUUGGGGAGCCUGCAGUCUCUCUCUCGCUCUCUGGCUGCAUGUGUUGAUGAACAAACCGGCUGCACGUGUCAGAGCUUGCCUGUUCCUGGUGGCGACUGAGGCAGCUUUCAUCCAGACACCCGGUGACGCUGUGCCUGCCACCAGCAUCAAAGCACGUCUUCUCUCCAACGCCUCGGAGAGCAUCGGGAAAAUGUCAAACGGUUUGGUUGCUUUGGGGGUAAAUCGCUGCUUCAUGUGAAGUUUGGGAGUCUGAUGACGUAUUUAAAGCUGACGAUGAACUUUCUGAGUCUUCGCAAAACACUACAAAAGACGAGUGUGUGUAACUGUAAGCGCCGCCUGCAUGACAGUAAAAUGAGCUUACCUGC